UGCAGAAUCGAUGAAGAUAUCUUACCACAGAUCAAUUUGUUUUUAACGACGGAUUGAGAAUAUGGCGGAGGACAAAGACGAAGCAAUACAAUUGGGGCUUGAAAUGGCAGCAUCAAGAGAUGAGGUGGCUCAACUAAAAAUCCUCGAUACCGACAUCUCAAAGACACCAAUCUUAGGCACGAAGCCUAUGGCAACUUCAUCGAAAGGACCAGUUGGUAAUCUACGUCGGUACGAGACAGUAUUUCCCAAAUGGCGGUACAGACGUAUGG